UACGGAGGGUGCAAGCGUUAUCCGGAUUCACUGGGUUUAAAGGGUGCGUAGGUGGGUUGGUAAGUCAGUGGUGAAAUCUCCAGGCUUAACUUGGAAACUGCCAUUGAUACUAUCAAUCUUGAAUACCGCGGAGGUCAGCGGAAUAUGUCAUGUAGCGGUGAAAUGCUUAGAUAUGACAUAGAACACCAAUUGCGAAGGCAGCUGGCUACACGAAUAUUGACACUGAUGCACGAAAGCGUGGGGAUCAAACAGG
rnacentral:rRNA from 1 species